AAUAGGAUAACGCUGAAUCUUCCUGAUGGAAGAGCGGGGGAACCACUUUUUCGGGGUGAAUCGCCUUUUGGCGUAGGGCUAGCUAUCGGCCCGAAUCCGUCAGCUAACUUCGUAAGCGUUGAUAGAGGUUUU
rnacentral:sRNA from 2 species